rfam:Sphingomonas sp. SRS2 contig64, whole genome shotgun sequence.
CGGGGUGGAGCAGCCCGGUAGCUCGUCAGGCUCAUAACCUGAAGGUCACAGGUUCAAAUCCUGUCCCCGCAA